AUGACUAAGCUUACAGAAUACUACAAGCAACGGGCGAAGAAGCAUUGGGCAACUAAAGGUGAUAGGAAUACUUCGUAUUUUCAUAAUGUUGUUCUUAAGCGUAGGCGUCGCAACCGCAUAGUCUUCAUCACAGAUGCUCAGGGUAACCGUCUUCAUGAUCCCAAUGAUAUAGCAACUGAAUUUGUUAACUAUUUCAGAAAUAUUGACAGGUAACUGCCAAGCACAACCUUUCCUUGUGAAUCUCAGGAUUUCACCAACUCACUGCCAGAUAAGCAGGAAAUUUGGGAGACGCUCAAAUCAAUGAAAAAGAAUGCGUCACCAGGACCCGAUGGCUUCAAUGUAGCCUUCUACUUGGCGGCCUGGAACUGGAUAGGACAUGAUGUCACUACGAUGAUCAACAAUUUCUACCUUACAUGUAUACUUCCUGCCCAUCUCAAUGAUACUCAUAUUACCCUCAUUCCAAAAAAAAUUGGUUUGUCAUGUUCCUUCGGAUUACAGGCCAAUCAGCUUGUGUAA
rnacentral:rRNA from 1 species